GACGAACGCUGGCGGCGUGCCUAAUACAUGCAAGUCGAGCGCAGGAAGUCAUCCGACCCCUUCGGGGGGACGUUGACGGAAUGAGCGGCGGACGGGUGAGUAACACGUAAAGAACCUGCCCUCAGGUCUGGGAUAACCACGAGAAAUCGGGGCUAAUACCGGAUGGGUCAUCGGACCGCAUGGUCCGAGGAUGAAAGGCGCUCCGGCGUCGCCUGGGGAUGGCUUUGCGGUGCAUUAGCUAGUUGGUGGGGUAAUGGCCCACCAAGGCGACGAUGCAUAGCCGACCUGAGAGGGUGAUCGGCCACACUGGGACUGAGACACGGCCCAGACUCCUACGGGAGGCAGCAGUAGGGGAUCUUCCACAAUGGACGAAAGUCUGAUGGAGCAACGCCGCGUGAACGAUGAAGGCCCUCGGGUCGUAAAGUUCUGUUGUAAGGGAAGAACAAGUGCCGCAGGCAAUGGCGGCACCUUGACGGUACCUUGCGAGAAAGCCACGGCUAACUACGUG
rnacentral:rRNA from 1 species